GUCUGUAUGAAGUUGAAUAGAGUCUGUUCUGCCAAUUGAGAAUAAAAAUGUCUUAAAAGGCCGCGGUAUAUUAACUGUGCAAAGGUAGCAUAAUCAGUAGUUUUUUAAUUGAAGGCUUGUAUGAAUGAUUGGACAAGGAUGAAACUGUCUUUUUUUAAAAAAUUGAAUUUUAUUUUUAAGUGAAAAAGCUUAAAUAUACUAGGGGGACGAUAAGACCCUAUAAAUCUUAAUGUUGCUAUUUUUGUAGAGGAAAAUAUUAAAGUAAAAAAGAAUUAUGAAAAUAAACAUUUGGCUGGGGUGGCAGUAAUAUAAAGAGAACUAUUAAAAAUAAAUAACAGAUAUAUUUGAAAUUAAAAGAUCCUGAUUACAGAUUAAGAGUAUAAGUUACUUUAGGGAUAACAGCAUAAUUUCUUUGGAGAGUUCUAAUCGAAAAAGAAGUUUGUGACCUCGAUGUUGAAUUAAAAGAUCCUUGAGGUGCAGAAGUUUCAGGGGAGAGUCUGUUCGACUUUUAAAUUUUUACAUGAUUUGA
rnacentral:rRNA from 1 species